ACCCUAUUUCUUUUCUAUCGUUCUCCUUCUCCCAUCGGGCACAGUCUAUCGUUGCGGAAAUAGCUGAUGUACGUCGGCCUCAGAAUCAGAUCCGUUGAUUAUUCGCGCUUCACUAUCUGGUCAGUGAGGAUUCUCUCAGUUCCCAUAUGACUCGUUCCCUUGAAGCCAAAUUAAUCGUGUUGCUUUCUAAUUAUCACUUCCUCAGCCUUUCAUCGUGUUGAUUUGGGAGUACACUUGAGCAGCUACAUUUCAUUAAUUAAAUUUAUUGAUUUUUGAAAAUUUCUACUAGUUUUUCCACUUUCCGAUCAGGGAAUAUAUUAAAUCGACGGUGAUGAGCUAUAUACAGACCUGUAAUGAUUUGCGGUCAUGAUCGCAAUUCUAAAGAACAUCUAAGGGACUGAGUUGAUUAAUAGCUACUCCCAAUUUUUUUAAACCUAUUAUUUCUCUGUUGAUAUUUCGUUUUUAAAAGAUUUUUGGCUUUGCUCUAAUUUCUCAAGCCUGCAUUUAUCAAAUAAUUCAUGCGAGGCAAAACGGUUAUGCGAAGCCUAAAUGAUUGUUCUCCUCGCUAUCCGUCUCUUCAAUAAAAUGCUGAGUUUGGACGUCGGAGAACGACAUUGUUUUAUCUAAUUUCAAAGUAGUUAGACCUCCACUCGAUUAAAUCAUAUUUGGUGAACAAUGUAUUGUGAAUUAUCCGUAAUAUUCUCCUGUGUUUCCAUGAAUUAGUAUGUACACAGAAGUAUUUACAUUUUUCGAUCAAUUGAAGAUUUAAAGAAUUAUUCUGAUU